AUUGAACGCUGGCGGCAUGCUUUACACAUGCGAGUCGAACGGCAGCGCGGGCUUCGGCCUGGCGGCGAGUGGCGCACGGGUGAGUAAUGCAUCGGAACGUGCCCAGUAGUGGGGGAUAGCCCGGCGAAAGCCGGAUUAAUACCGCAUACGACCUGAGGGUGAAAGCGGGGGGCCGAAAGGCCUCGCGCUAUUGGAGCGGCCGAUGUCGGAUUAGCUAGUUGGUGGGGUAAAGGCUUACCAAGGCGACGAUCCGUAGCUGGUCUGAGAGGACGACCAGCCACACUGGGACUGGGACACGGCCCAGACUCCUACGGGAGGCAGCAGUGGGGAAUUUUGGACAAUGGGGGCAACCCUGAUCCAGCCAUGCCGCGUGCGGGAAGAAGGCCUUCGGGUUGUAAACCGCUUUUGUUCGGGAAGAAAUCCUCUGGGCUAAUACCCCGGGGGGAUGACGGUACCGGAAGAAUAAGCACCGGCUAACUACGUG
rnacentral:rRNA from 1 species